AUACGUAGGUGACAAGCGUUAUCCGGAAUUACUGGGCGUAAAGGGCGUGUAGGCGGUCUUGCAAGUCAGAAGUGAAAUUCCUGAGCUCAACUCGGGCGCUGCUUCUGAAACUGCAGGACUUGAGUGCUGGAGGGGAUAGCGGAAUUCCUAGUGGAGCGGUAAAAUGCGCAGAUAUUAGGAAGAACACCGGGGGCGAAGGCGGCUACCUGGGCGUAAACUGACGCUGUGGUGCGCAAGCGCGGGGGGCAAACAGAAUUAGAUACCCUGGGGUUACACGCCGUAAACGAUGAAUACUAUGGGUAGUGGGUAUCGACUCCCUCUGUGCCGCAGUUAACACAAUAAGUAUUCCGCCUGGGGAGUACGGCCGCAAGGUUGAAACUUAAAGGAAUUGACGGGG
rnacentral:rRNA from 1 species